AUUGAACGCUGGCGGCAGGCUUAACACAUGCAAGUCGAACGAGUGGCGGACGGGUGAGUAAUGUAUGGGGAUCUGCCUGAUGGAGGGGGAUAACUGCUGGAAACGGUAGCUAAUACCGCAUAACAUCAGAUGAACCCAUAUGGGAUUAGCUUGUAGGUGAGGUAACGGCUCACCUAGGCGACGAUCCAUAGCUGGUCUGAGAGGAUGAUCGGCCACACUGGGACUGAGACACGGCCCAGACUCCUACGGGAGGCAGCAGUGGGGAAUAUUGCGCAAUGGGCGAAAGCCUGAGGCAGCCAUGCCGCGUGUAUGAAGAAGGCCUUCGGGUUGUAAAGUACUUUCAUUCGGGAGGCGUUACCGACAGAAGAAGCCCCGGCUAACUCCGUGCCAGCAGCCGCGGUAAUUC
rnacentral:rRNA from 1 species